rnacentral:lncRNA from 1 species
AGUUUUCUUAGUAAGUUUACCAAAUACUGAUUUUUUUUUUUUCUGGACCAAUUCUAGGAAAGAAAAAAAAUGUCCAUAGAGAAAACAUAAUCCAAUCAUUUAAAAAAAAAUGGGUCACCAGUGGCCAAGUCACAGUUCCUGGACACCAUUUCAUUACAAAGGAGAUUGUAUUUUAUAACAAUACAAUUUGUCUCAAGGAGUUUUGUUAGUGUGGGAACACAGAGAGAAAAAUAACACCAAAUGUGUACACACACACACACACACACACAUAUAUCCAUGUGCCAAAUGAGGACCUGGGACUGCAUACAUUCCAGGGCAAGACAGAAGAGAAUGGAACUGCAGGCUGUGACCUACCACUGCAGGUCUUUAUGGGGCAGUCGCCUGGUCUGUGCUCAUAGACAUGGUGACAGAAUAAGGAUUUCUAAGUGUAGAAAAACCAUUCAAAGUUGACUCAUCUUUUUUUUCCCUGUUUGAUCAGUUUAUUAAACACGGGUUGUCACACUCCUCUGAUUUAUUUUGCUUGUUUCUGAGCUUGGUGGGAGCUCAUUUCUGUCACCCCCAUAUGGAUGAUUCUGAGUAAAUUUUGGUUUUUCAAGUGUUCCCUUUCCAUCCUGAUGGCUGCAUUUAUUCUGUGCUUCAGACCUUCUGGCUGAGGACCGUUUUGGAAAGUUCCUUGUAUAAUAAAUAAAUGAUACAAUAGUAAAUACAAUAAACAAAUAAAACAAGAAUGUGCUUCUUCAGAUAAAUCAUGUGUAUAUAACUUUGGUCAAACAGACCUUCCUUUGAAGAAAUUUGAGAAUGUAUUAGGGCUAUCAUGACCACAACCCAUGAUCACAUAGACAAUUGAGAAGCUAGUUGUUUCAGAAACAUUUGAUUGUAAAUCCUGUCUGUAGUAGCUGGCCAAGCGAACAUUAGCUGUGUGUGUGUGUGUGUGUGUGUGUGUGUGUGUGUGUGUGUGUGUCUAUAUAGAUAGCAUUAGUCAAGCUAAUGUCCCUUUUUGUCCAGAGCAUUUCAAGAACCACAUGACUAUCAGAUUUUUCUGAGCCAUGUUUUUGAACACAUUAUUUAAAACCAUAUGUCAGGAAAGUUGUACCAGGCUGCAGGAUUGGCUGCAGGAUUCUGUCAGCCUUUGAGCAGCACUCAGGAGCUGCCCCUGCACCUGCAGCAUGCAUUGGUCAUGUGACUCUAGGGGUAAACUUCCAGAUAGCAGUUUAGUUGUUGUCUCUUCCAGCUGAGACAAUGGAUGUGCCUAAAAUUAGCUAGGAAAAGGCUGCGUGGUCUAUCCAGGUUUCUCUGAGGAACAGGCCAGCUCAGCCUUGCUUAGUGUGCUCCUUCCCGCUCCAUUUCCCCGGCUCUCCCCUCAGGUGUGUUCAUGGAAAGCUGCCUCGAAGUUCUCGGAAUUACUCAGGAUUCUUUCCCAGUCCUUCAUGGGGCCUCUAAUGAAGUCUGAGCUGUAGCCUGGGGUUGAUGCCAGCCUGGAAUGCAAGGAGACUGAAAGCUGACACCCGUUCAACGGAGCAAAGGGCCUUGCACUGAGGUUGUUGCCAUGACAACCUGGGUAUGUUCCUGGUGACGCAUUUACACAACGGGGUUAAAGUUCUUUGAAACCAGUGGCUGCUGUAAAAACAGCAUAUUAAAUAUGCUCCGGACUGUGGGCUGUGCAUUCUUCUCUCUCUGGAGACACUCCCCCUGCCGUGUGUGUGUGUGUGUGUGUGUGUGUGUGUGUGUGUGUGUGUGUGUUUCAUUGGGGGAAAUUUCUCAAAGUGCAAAGUGAAUUUACAGCAGAAUCAAUCAAAUAGCGGGCUAGCUCUGCACAAAUUUUCUCCUUUUUGAAAGGAAGGGACAAUAAUUUGGGUCAUCAUUCCCCUCUGCAGUAUUUCUUUGUUUGUCUGUCUUGUUAUCUCUGCACACCAAAACAUCUGUUCUCUCACCUUGCCUCCUUGGUGUGGAGCAAUAUGUUUGAAGCUAGUCACUUGGCAAACCAUUUGGAGAAAAGGAUAGCUUCAAUGAGCCCAUGAUUCAAAAAUCUUUUGCCUUUUAAAUUUGAUUUGAAUUGUUUUCUAUUCACCUUGUAGUUUUGUGUUAACUUAUUAUUCAGGCAGACAUUUGAAGGGGG